rnacentral:rRNA from 1 species
UACGGAGGAUCCAAGCGUUAUCCGGAUUUAUUGGGUUUAAAGGGAGCGUAGGUUGACAUAUAAGUCAGCUGUGAAAGUUUACGGCUCAACCGUGAAAUUGCAGUUGAUACUGUAUGUCUUGAGUGUACAAGAGGUGGGCGGAAUUCGUGGUGUAGCGGUGAAAUGCUUAGAUAUCACGAAGAACUCCAAUUGCGAAGGCAGCUCGCUGGGGUACAACUGACACUGAGGCUCGAAAGUGUGGGUAUCAAACAGGAUUAGAUACCCUGGUAGUCCACACAGUAAACGAUGAAUACUCGCUGUUUGCGAUAUACAGUAAGCGGCCAAGCGAGAGCAUUAAGUAUUCCACCUGGGGAGUACGCCGGCAACGGUGA